AGUGAACGCUGGCGGUAGGCCUAACACAUGCAAGUCGAACGGCAGCACAGUAAGAGCUUGCUCUUACGGGUGGCGAGUGGCGGACGGGUGAGGAAUACAUCGGAAUCUACUUUUUCGUGGGGGAUAACGUAGGGAAACUUACGCUAAUACCGCAUACGACCUACGGGUGAAAGCAGGGGAUCUUCGGACCUUGCGCGAUUGAAUGAGCCGAUGUCGGAUUAGCUAGUUGGCGGGGUAAAGGCCCACCAAGGCGACGAUCCGUAGCUGGUCUGAGAGGAUGAUCAGCCACACUGGAACUGAGACACGGUCCAGACUCCUACGGGAGGCAGCAGUGGGGAAUAUUGGACAAUGGGCGCAAGCCUGAUCCAGCCAUACCGCGUGUGUGAAGAAGGCCUUCGGAUUGUAAAGCCCUUUUAUUGGGAAAGAAAAGCAGCAGGUUAAUACCCCGCUGUUCUGACGGUACCCAAAGAAUAAGCACCGGCUAACUUCGUG
rnacentral:rRNA from 1 species